ensembl:lincRNA
AAGAAAUAGCUGGCUAAGACUUUUUUUUUUUUGAUGCUGGGGAUCAAUCCCAUAAAUACAUACUAAUGUGUCAGAAAACCCCUAAAUUUACCAGUAAGUUAUAGCCUCAGGCCUUUUUCAAAUGUUAUUUUGAAAUAGGAUCUCUUUAAGUUGCCCAAUUUCUUUGUCCUCAAAUUCCAAUCCUCCUGUCUCUAUCUCCUGAGUAGCUGGGAUUACAGGUAUGCACUACCUGCCCAUUCACUUUUCCUUUUUAAAUAAAGUGAGAAUUUUUUACUCUCAUCUUUAGGUGACUGACAUGUACUCUCAUGGUGGAAGAUUUGAGAUGUAGAGAUGAGAAAAUUGUCCCACACAGGAUCAUUUCUAUUACUGCAGUCACAACACAAGCAGAACAGAGGCAAUCAUCUAGCAAGGUCCUGUGCUCAAGGAGGCGUGGGCUACCUCCAUCCUUCUCCUCUCUUGGCAGCACUGGAAGAAGUAAGGCUGGCCAGCAGUCAGUGUCAAUGAAAGGACAGCAUCAUAGCAAACAGGCUUGUGGUGAGACUUUAAGACACACAGGAAGUUACAAGAGAAACAGCAUUUGUUUCAACUCCACCCACUGACCUUUCAGCAAACAGCAACAUCCUCAGGACUCUUAGAGGAAUGGUUUUGUAACCCUGGGGAAAAGACACUGCUUCUAAAUAUAAUUGACAUGGCUUUCCUGCCUUCAUUGGGGUAUCCAUUUUCCCCCACAUAAUCUUCCCAUUGUCCACACUGAUUCCUGUUUGGUUUGGCAGGGGAAGCUGCUGGCAGGCUUCCCAUGUGUUGAAUGUUCCUUACUUCACUGUGCUGGGCCCACUGAAAUAACAGUAGGCUUCUCUAGCUCUCUGAAAAAAGAGCCAAACUCCACAUGAAUUGUGAAACUCGUUUCUGGUUACCAAGAAAACGUAAAGAAAUUGCAAUGAAGAAAAAAAAAAUCAUUGAAAUUCUUUCUAACUUUUGAACAAGAAAGAUAUUUUUAGCACUUUAGAUUUAUGAAAGUCAGUGCUUCAACUUCCUGCCAGAUUUUGAUACCUCCUAUUCUUUGCACUGCAUUAUUUAAAUACACUGUAAAUAUCCUUAGUUGCCUGAAAAGCAACUAAGAUAGUGCAAGAUGGCCAGUGUCUGAGGACCUUGUUGACUCUGAAAGACAAAAGUUCUAUCUCUGGUCCAUAAAUCUAAAUUAGAACUAUGAUAAAGGUCCCAAUGAAAGAUCCCAUAUGAAAUCCAUAUUUUGACAGCUAGAUAAGUAGGUCAUUUUUAAGACAGAUUUUGAAUCCCUGCCCAGAGUCAAACACAGCCCAGCAGCCUUGAAGUAAACACUUCUUAACUGACUGGGUCAGUGUCCUGCCUUUUAGGGUACAGGAAAAGUUGGAAGUAGAGGACAGGUUGGAAAGUCUGAGCCUGGAAAGAUGACUCCUGACUUGGGUUGCUAUUUUGAUAUUUUUUAACUUAUGUUACAUUAAGCUUUAUGCUAUUUGCUGAAAAUACCAUCCUGUUUAAAAAAAAAAAUCCCAAGCCUGUAAAGAAAAUACAGGAAACAUGAAGAGAGUAUGCUAUAUAUGAAGCCUGUGGUAUAAAACUCUAUAAAACCCAGAGGUCUUGAGUGUGGUAGGGUAUGCCUGUAAUCCCAGCACUCAGGAAGUUAAAGCAGGAGGAGUGCCACCAGUCCAAAGCCAGCCAAGGCUACCUAGUAAGCUUGAGGCCAGCCUGAACUGAAACUGUGUCUCAAAAACCCAAAACCAAACCAAACCUAACCUAACCAAAAAAACCAAAACCAAACCAACCAAACAAACAGAAAAACAUAGGCAUCAAUCACUAAGAUGUACUCAAAGUGCCUGUUUCUUUAAGGGCAAUGCAGUUUAGAUGGUAAGGAGGAAUAGAGAUAAUCCAUUUAUAUGUACUCUGUAAUAAUGGUAGCUCACAGCCUAUCAGAGGGCAGAGCAGGCAGGCCAGUUGCCCUGCAGUGGGUACCUUCACUCUCCCCACUGCCAUGUAGCUUCUCUGCUCUUGCUGCCUAUAGGCCUCCAUCAAUAACUUCUGGACCAAUGGAUUCUAGGGCUUUUAUCCUCUGAUCAGCAAGCAGACUUCUUCUUUUUCUUGAGACCAACUCUUUGCAGAGGUAUUCUAAAAGUAGAACUUUAAAGUCUCAAUAAUAUAAUUCUGCUAGCAAUAGUUGUCUUCUUCAAACG